AACGAACGCUGGCGGCAUGCCUAAUACAUGCAAGUCGAACGAAGUGGCGCACGGGUGCGUAACGCGUGGGAAUCUGCCCUUGGGUUCGGAAUAACAUCGGGAAACUGAUGCUAAUACCGGAUGCCCAGGGAUGAGCCCGCGUAGGAUUAGCUAGUUGGUGGGGUAAAGGCCUACCAAGGCGACGAUCCUUAGCUGGUCUGAGAGGAUGAUCAGCCACACUGGGACUGAGACACGGCCCAGACUCCUACGGGAGGCAGCAGUAGGGAAUAUUGGACAAUGGGGGCAACCCUGAUCCAGCAAUGCCGCGUGAGUGAUGAAGGCCUUAGGGUUGUAAAGCUCUUUUACCAGAGAUGCAGUAUCUGGGGAAUAAGCCCCGGCUAACUCCGUGCCAGCAGCCGCGGUAAUAC
rnacentral:rRNA from 1 species